GAUGAACGCUGGCGGCGUGCCUAAUACAUGCAAGUCGAGCGAACGGACGAGGAGCUUGCUUCUCUGAUGUUAGCGGCGGACGGGUGAGUAACACGUGGAUAACCUACCUAUAAGACUGGGAUAACUUCGGGAAACCGGAGCUAAUACCGGAUAACAUUUUGAACCGCAUGGUUCAAAAGUGAAAGACGGUCUUGCUGUCACUUAUAGAUGGAUCCGCGCUGCAUUAGCUAGUUGGUAAGGUAACGGCUUACCAAGGCAACGAUGCAUAGCCGACCUGAGAGGGGGAUCGGCCACACGGGAACGGAGACACGGUCCAGACUACUACGGGAGGCAGCAGUAGGGAAUCUGCCGCAAGGGGGGAAAGCCUGACGGAGCAACGCCGCGUGAGUGAGGAAGGUCUUCGGAUCGUAAAACUCUGUUAUUAGGGAAGAACAUAUGUGUAAGUAACUAUGCACAUCUUGACGGUACCUAAUCAGAAAGCCACGGCUAACUACGUG
rnacentral:rRNA from 1 species